GUUCGUGUGGCCUAGUGGUUAGGGCGUCUGUCUUACAACUUGUCUGAUUCUAGAUAUGUUGAGAUCACAGAAGAUCCCCGGUUCGACCCCGGGCACGAACA